CGAGCCUUACACUGUUUAGCAGAUUUACGCACCAGAAGCGAAGAGAUUCGGGCCCAUUGAUUCUUCCCAUAUUUCAUAACCGCCGCUUUGAGGAUUUCAUCCUCCGUGUUCUUCCACACACCACCUUUUAUCAUAAUCCUCAUCUUGCCUCCUUUAUAUUUAACUAACGCUCUCUAAUUCUUCAAAAUUUUAGGGUUUUAAGAUUGAUAGCCAAAUGCUCUCAAUCUAUAUUCAUAGGGUUUUCCCUAAGGUGGAUUUACUCUACUGCUCGCAAUUGGAUAAGAU
rnacentral:misc_RNA from 1 species